GAGGAAUAUUGGUCAAUGGACGUAAGUCUGAACCAGCCAAGUAGCGUGCAGGAUUGACGGCCCUAUGGGUUGUAAACUGCUUUUGUUGGGGAGUAAAGUGGGGCACGCGUGCCUUUUUGCAUUUACCCUUCGAAUAAGGACCGGCUAAUUCCGUGCCAGCAGCCGCGGUAAUACGGAAGGUCCAGGCGUUAUCCGGAUUUAUUGGGUUUAAAGGGAGUGUAGGCGGUCUGUUAAGCGUGUUGUGAAAUUUAGGUGCUCAACAUCUACCUUGCAGCGCGAACUGGCGGACUUGAGUGCACGCAACGUAUGCGGAAUUCAUGGUGUAGCGGUGAAAUGCUUAGAUAUCAUGACGAACUCCGAUUGCGAAGGCAGCGUACGGGAGUGUUACUGACGCUUAAGCUCGAAGGUGCGGGUAUCGAACAGGAUUAGAUGCCCUGGUAGUCCGCACGGUAAACGAUGGAUGCCCGCUGUUAGCGCCUGGCGUUAGCGGCUAAGCGAAAGCAUUAAGCAUCCCACCUGGGGAGUACGCCGGCAACGGUG
rnacentral:rRNA from 1 species